CUUGGCUCUGGGGAGAAAGGGGGGGCUGUGACGUGGGGGCUGAGGAAGGGCUAAGGCGGGAGAGGCGCCUCAUCCCUUCACCCUCCCUUUCGCUAUGUGGGGGCCCUGAGCGCCGCCCCAGAAGAGGUCGAGGGAAUGUUGUGGGCUGGGGCACACCGGCAGGGCAGAAACUGGAGAAAGCGAGAGACGUCGCCAGGGACCCAGGGACCUCUCCCUCCAGUUCCCCGGGCCCGCCCGGCCCUGCUCGCCACUCCCGCUAUAGCGCCCACUCUGUCCCGGGCCGUCCCGCGCCAGCAGUGUAGCCCCCAGCCCGGGCGCCUGAACGCUCUCCCUCCGGAUCGCUGCUCGGGUCCCCACUUUGGCGACCGUGCCCCCGAGUCCUGCUUCCCCGGGGCCUGCUCUAGAUCAGGCGCCUGCGCCUUCAAGGGUACCCGGCCCACAAGGGCCGAGUUUGCGCUCCUCCCGGAAUCGUUUGAGAGGACAAACUUUUGAGAGGACGGAAAUCUAGAGGAGCCGUCCGGAGCAGAACACCCCUGAUUAGCCAGGCCCACCGCCAUCCACAUCUGCUUGGCAAAGAAGGAAGGCAGCUUGUUCCAGACCUUGGUGAGCGGCUGCAGACUGCCUGCCUAGAACAGCCUCCUUACUCCAGCCUGGCAGGGAAGGAAGGAACCUGACUUGCUUCACAGGAUCUGCAAUCUCAGCCGGCAAUGCUGAGAGACGCAGUUGCAUCCUGGAGCCUGAUGCUAGAAGCAGCUUCUGUCUUUGGGUUCUUGCUGCCUCGGCCUCUGCUCUGUUCAGUUUGCUGUUGUGUUUUUCUCCCCCAUGUUGGGGUGGUGGGGUACAGGGAAAUAAAAUAUUUUCUCCCAGGCCCCUAAUCCUUCCCCAUGCCUCCAUCAGCCUCAAAGCUGCUGACAGUCAUGAACUGCACCUUCCAGCCCUGCCCAUAAGCUACUCAAAGCAAAUUCAAAUUCUCUUCUGGCCAGGAGGAAGGGCAGAUGCUCCCUCCUUCCUCAAGCCUCCCUGGCUCAUUGAUCCAUUUUGAGGGCAUUUGGGGUUCAAAAUUGAGACCAGAUUGCUUAGUUUGGAUAAAAUUAACAUUUCUUACCACACCAAGGCCACACCUAUUCUCUGGCCUCACAAACCAGUGAGGACGUAAAGGUUUGUUGAGAUGGAGGAACAGAAGCGAAAUGAGCAAUCUGCUCCAUUUAGAAGUCAGUCGCUUCAGCUGUUCAUUCCACUAAUAUUUAUCUAGUACCUACUCUGUGCCAAGCAUUGUCUCUACCUCAGUUUGCCAUAAAUAUGAAAAGAAAAUUCUUGCAACUGUGAGGCUUCAAUGUGUUGUGGACCAAUAUACAAAUAAACCAAUGGAAAAGAAA